AUCCGUCCCUAUUGUCUCCACAGUAAAUUCAGCCGGAGAUUAUCCCCUUACUUUCAGUUCAAUAGAGUUCCACUUAUGUGCGGGACAACCUUAUUUGCCUCCCGCCACUUGGAGACCACACUAAUGUAAUUACAUUGAGGGAACAGUGGCCAAAUCACUACCCGGAUCCUACAGACCACUCUCCACCAGGAAGCUGUCUAGACGGUACCGGUGUCCCUCAAGAACACUUUGCCCUCACUAUUUGCAGUGCCAAAGUGGAAACACAUCACAGUCUGCCGUCCCAGCAAACCCUGCCAAGCCUUGUGGAAGUUCCACCAUCCCCUAAACCUAAAAAGGGUUAAAGUAGCCUCCAGAGCUCCUUGCUGCCGUGGUUUGGCUCCUUCCUGCCUUGCCAUGGAUGGCAUGACAGCGAUGACAGCCUGCUGAGUUUCUAACUUGGAGUGACCCUGCUGCGUGGCAUCGGGGAUCAAGCUGGAGUUGCAGCCAUGGACUGGGGUGGCCACCAUCACCCAUAACCAUGGUCACCUUUCAGAGGCAGCUGAAACCACCAGCAUUCACUGUGUGGGUAAUCGGGUACAGUGAACUUGUUGAUUGUCUGUCUGUCUCUGCAGUGCUUAUGAGCAAUAGCAAGUGGGAAUCUCAUCUUCAAAAGAUAAAAAUUCAGUUUUGUGUCGUGCCCUGUCCUUGUGGAUGGUGAAGCUGCUUUACAGCACUGGAGUGUCUGUCUUUGCGCUUGGUUGGAAGCCUUCUCAAAGAACUAAAUUUCGGAAUUUGAUCUCAGUGGGACCUACUUUAUACCCAUUUUAUUGUAACACGGCAGAGGCUGAAUGCCUAUCAAAUAGAGCUGAUGGGAUAACUUUUAAUUAAAUGUAUCUUUAGUUAUAUGUGGAUUUGGUUAGGUGUAGUUUGCAUUUUGAUUAAUGUCAUUGAAGUGAAAAUGCUCGACCGCAAGAUAGUGAUUUCAAUCUUUUUUUCCAAGAAAUAGCUUUCUGGAGCCGCUUCUGCCCCUGAGAAAGAGGGCCAGAGGGAACUGAAAAUAGGUAUUUAUGGUCCAGAUACAGCAUUUUCCCAGAAAUUAACUUUGCAAAAGCACUUCAAAAGUUUUUUGCACCACUUUCAAUAGGGAAUGCUGCACAGUUGUAAACCUCAGAAGCUGUCACAGGAUGGGUUUGGUGUCCUGUAGCUGCUGGUCUUGUCACGUCUGCUCACUUUAUGUAUCUGAGCAUGCUUGGAGGAAGGCAGAGGAGGGCUGACUUUCUUCUUCCUGUUCCUGCUUUUCUUCCAGUGAUUUCUGUUUCACCCUAUGGAUACAUCUUCCCUCCAGGCCACAACUGCCUUGUGUUUACAGAUUUCUUAUCCUUGUGGCCUGUCAAAAAUGGCAAAUCUCACAGCCAACAGUGGAUUUUAGGAGGAAGGCCUCUGUCAACUUUCUGACUGUGAAUUCAAGUUUUUAAAUCCAUGAAUGAAAUAAUUUUGAUUUAUAUGCAAUUGGGAAUUUCUUUCUAGGUGCUUCAGUUUACCUGUUUCAGGUGCAGUGCAGCAGGGCCACAUUAAAGCCUGCAGGAAAUAAUUAUCUGGAGACCUGCAUGUGAACAGCUUGGAGAGUUGUGUGCUCCAAGUAAGCCAGAGAUGCUUGAUUUAAUUGUGGCAAAGUCAAUCUAAAUACACUAAUUUGAUUGUAGCCUAGUAACUCUUAAAGAGUUGUGCCUCACAAAUGAUUUUUUUAAAGUGCUGAAAUUCAGAGAAAGCUAAACCAGAAAUUAUUUGCAUACCUGCAUUCAAGUCUCUCUGUUAGAUUAUAUCAGGGUUAUAAUUUGAGUCCAUAAUUUUUGCAACAGAAGGUGUUAUUCGGGUAGUGUAUGUUGCACGUUGCCCUGGAGCAUGGCUGGUUUGAGUUAGAGAAAUAGCUCUGAAAUCUCACCCAUGCCAGCAAUUCCCACCCAAGUCCCCCACUGCAUAGGAAUGCUACUUUAGCUCUUGUAAACACAGAAUGAUAACUGUGGAGAGUUUAUCUCAGUUGGAUCAAAACAGUGCUUGCUCUUAGAUAAGGAUUGGUUUACAUGUGCUGCUGGCCUGGCGUGAGGACUCUCAGCAUUUACCCAUCCUCCUUGGUAGCUGCUGAGAGCCCUGUGUUCCUGCAGAGCAUUCCAUUCUUUACAGGUAUUCCGCACUACAGAUGUGGUCUGGUUCUGCAACUGAGCGCUCUGCUGCAGCGCUGGGCUUCUCGUGCCAGGUCCUGAAGCUUCUUCUCCAAAUCUGGAAGAGCAGAGACAUGCAAUGAUGCUUAUAUUUGUUAUGAAUGUCUCCGCUGGUCCUUGUGAAGCCAGACCAGUGUAAACAUACUGGUUAUAGGUCAAAACCACAAUACUCACAAUGACUGUUCCCAAUGCACUGGGCAUUUGUAGUGACUGAGGUGCUCUUAAUGCUCCUUAUGAAGGUCCAGGGCACAGCAGCUUCGAUCUCCAUGGCAGUGCCCAUGGGUGACGACACCAGAGUGCGGACUGGAAUGAUUGAGGUGUGUACUCAAGCCCUGCUGCCUUCUGUGGGACACAAAUGUUUCUCUGCGUGUUUGAACAAGCCAGUAUUCGUACCUGGCUUGUUCUGCCUUUAUUAAGAGAUAAUGUCUGAAGGGGAACAUGUAUGGACUGACGAAAAAGAGCUACCCUGCAGCUCUCUGUAACACAAGACAUCACUCGGGUAAUGCAAGAAAAGACAGAGUGCAAAGGUCCAAACACCUAAAGCAAGUGUAUAAAUCAAGGCUCCCAGCUAAAUCUGCAGCCAAGUUUUAUGCAGAUUUUGCACUUUUCCUGCUUUUAAACUGUCUGAAUAAAACCACUGCAAAUCUCUGUCUGGACACUUCUUAAACUCUACAUGUAGCAACCAAUUUAUGUCAGAAAAAGUACAUAAGCCAAAUCAAUUUAACUGCUUUUAAUCUGCUUGGGUAGCUUCAAGCAGAGAUUUUCAUCAGUUAAAUUGUUUUAAAUCUUAUUUCAGGUGAACCUAGUCUGCUAGAGUCUGUGAAGUAAACU